AUACUAUGAUGGUUGCAUAGUUCAGCAGAUUGACUUGUGACGAGAUGUACCAUUUGUCUGAUGUGUCU
rnacentral:snoRNA from 1 species